rnacentral:rRNA from 1 species
UACGUAGGGGGCUAGCGUUGUCCGGAAUCAUUGGGCGUAAAGCGCGCGUAGGCGGCCCGGUAAGUCCGCUGUGAAAGUCAAAGGCUCAACCUUUGAAUGUCAGCGGAUACUGCCGGGCUAGAGUCCGGAAGAGGCGAGUGGAAUUCCUGGUGUAGCGGUGGAAUGCGUAGAUAUCGUAAGGAAGACCAGUGGCGAAGGCGGGUCUCUGGACAGUUCCUGACACUGAGGCACGAAGGCCAGGGGAGCAAACGGG